GGCUUUGCGCAGUGGCUGUAUCGUAACCAAUGAGGUUUAUCCGAGGCGCGAUUAUUGCUAAUUAUAUAGAGCCUUGGUGGCGCAGCAGACUAAAGCACUGUUAAGUAACACCAGCUGUCUGCAAUUACUGCAAGUUCAAAUCUCACCAGGCUCAAGGUUGACUCAGUGUUCCAUCCUUUUGAG